rnacentral:rRNA from 1 species
CCCUUUGGGGUGUGACUGCGUACCUUUUGUAUAAUGGGUCAGCGACUUAUAUUCUGUAGCAAGGUUAACCGAAUAGGGGAGCCGGAGGGAAACCGAGUCUUAACCGGGCGUUAAGUUGCAGGGUAUAGACCCGAAACCCGGUGAUCUAGCCAUGGGCAGGUUGAAGGUUGGGUAACACUAACUGGAGGACCGAACCGACUAAUGUUGAAAAAUUAGCGGAUGACCUGUGGCUGGGGGUGAAAGGCCAAUCAAACCGGGAGAUAGCUGGUUCUCCCCGAAAGCUAUUUAGGUAGCGCCUCGUGAAUUCAUCUCCGGGGGUAGAGCACUGUUUCGGCUAGGGGGCCAUCCCGGCUUACCAACCCGAUGCAAACUGCGAAUACCGGAGAAUGUUAUCACGGGAGACACACGGCGGGUGCUAACGUCCGUCGUGAAGAGGGAAACAACCCAGACCGCCAGCUAAGGUCCCAAAGUCAUGGUUAAGUGGGAAACGAUGUGGGAAGGCCCAGACAGCCAGGAUGUUGGCUUAGAAGCAGCCAUCAUUUAAAGAAAGCGUAAUAGCUCACUGGUCGAGUCGGCCUGCGCGGAAGAUGUAACGGGGCUAAACCAUGCACCGAAGCUGCGGCAGCGACACUCAGGUGUUGUUGGGUAGGGGAGCGUUCUGUAAGCCUGUGAAGGUGU